CUUUCUUUGCUGGCGACCGGCGCACGGGUGAGUAACACGUAUCCAGCCUGCCCUUUACUCGGGGAUAGCCUUUCGAAAGAAAGAUUAAUACCCGAUAGCAUAAUGAUUCCGCAUGGUUUCAUUAUUAAAGGAUUCCGGUAAAGGAUGGGGAUGCGUUCCAUUAGGUUGUUGGUGGGGUAACGGCCCACCAAGCCUUCGAUGGAUAGGGGUUCUGAGAGGAAGGUCCCCCACAUUGGAACUGAGACACGGUCCAA
rnacentral:rRNA from 1 species